AAUGCGUAUGGAGGGUUGCUCAGCUGCCUCCGUGUUUACAAUGAUGUGCAUGACGCCGGUGCGGCUAUGUUAACCUCUGUUUCGGCGGAUAUCGUAGACGGUGAUCGGGUGGACGACACGAAGCUUUGGCCAGCUUCUAGGAGACAUAAGCACAAAGUGUCUUCACUAGUUCUGCUACUCGUGGCUGUCUUCCAGCACACAUCUACCUCAGUAUGUCACUACUAUGCCAAAGCUCUCGAAUGAAAUGCUGCCUUGUGAACUCGUAAAGAAAGCUACAUGAAAGACGAAACACCAAGAGGAGAACAGCAUCAGGACAAGCCUGCCAUGUUCUUACAACUGAACGACAUAAAUUGAGAGUUUAGUGCUUG